rnacentral:tRNA from 1 species
ACCUUGAUGGCUCAGUUGGUUAGAGCGCAGGUCUCACAAUCCUGAGGUCGCAAGUUCGAUCCUUGCUCAGGGCA